AACAGAUGAGGAGCUUGCUCCUCUGACGUUAGCGGCGGACGGGUGAGUAACACGUGGAUAACCUACCUAUAAGACUGGGAUAACUUCGGGAAACCGGAGCUAAUACCGGAUAAUAUAUUGAACCGCAUGGUUCAAUAGUGAAAGACGGUUUUGCUGUCACUUAUAGAUGGAUCCGCGCCGCAUUAGCUAGUUGGUAAGGUAACGGCUUACCAAGGCAACGAUGCGUAGCCGACCUGAGAGGGUGAUCGGCCGCACUGGAACUGAGACACGGUCCAGACUCCUACGGGAGGCAGCAGUAGGGAAUCUUCCGCAAUGGGCGAAAGCCUGACGGAGCAACGCCGCGUGAGUGAUGAAGGUCUUCGGAUCGUAAAACUCUGUUAUUAGGGAAGAACAAAUGUGUAAGUAACUAUGCACGUCUUGACGGUACCUAAUCAGAAAGCCACGGCUAACUACGUGCCAGCAGCCGCGGUAAUACGUAGGUGGCAAGCGUUAUCCGGAAUUAUUGGGCGUAAAGCGCGCGUAGGCGGUUUUUUAAGUCUGAUGUGAAAGCCCACGGCUCAACCGUGGAGGGUCAUUGGAAACUGGAAAACUUGAGUGCAGAAGAGGAAAGUGGAAUUCCAUGUGUAGCGGUGAAAUGCGCAGAGAUAUGGAGGAACACCAGUGGCGAAGGCGACUUUCUGGUCUGUAACUGACGCUGAUGUGCGAAAGCGUGGGGAUCAAACAG
rnacentral:rRNA from 1 species